AAGGACGAGAGAAAAGCACGGUGCCCCUCGAGUCCUCUCCGCCCCCUCGGUCCUAACCCCCGCCCAGGCUCCAGGUCUUCCCCUUUGUGUGGCCUGGACUCUCUCCCAGCUACGACUUUGGUGGGAUCCAAAAGGAAGGAGGUGGCGGGGCCUACGGAAGAGGAUACCCAGGAGCCAGGGAGAAGGGCUAGAAAACGAAUAAUGUGACUCCAGAGGCGGAACCCCGACCCCCUCUAUUUCCCACCCCGGCUUCACCCGGAGACGAAAGCUGUGGGCAUCUUCAGUUUAACGGACUUCGCGGAAAAGGAGAGAAGGGGGGCGAGGGAAAUGGCAGUUUGUGUCCCAGGGGUUCUUCCCCUUCUUCUUGCCGCCUCCUAAAGACAAACAAACUCAACCCCCCACCCUCCGGGGUAUCAGGGAACUCGUGGGACCGUGAAAAAGUCGUUCCCAAAUCCGGCCGCCUGCGGACGUCGGACUUCCGCGGGGCCGGCGCCCGUUGGCGUCUGUAGCUCGGCGCAGCCACGCGGGGCUCCAGCGAGCGGGGUCCGCCACCCCUCGCGCCCUCCUGCGGCUUUCCCAGCGCUGGGCCAGUGCAGGCCGAGCCCUGCGUCCCUGCCUCGCUGGGUGGGGGUCCGGGGCGCGGCUGUCCACAGGGCCGCCUCCUCCUGCGGCCCGCGGGGAAGGGGCGCAUCCCACCCCGCUCUGCAGGCCGCCCUUCUGCCAGCUGGGAGGCGAGGGCACACGUCCUAAGGCUGCCCAAGGGGGAGAGGAAUCGCGCCGGUAGGAGAGCGCACGGGAACCAGGAACGCAAGGCGGGCACAGGGGAGCCGAAGGAGCCAGACAGGGCCCGGCCACGCGCCCUCCUCGCUCGGCUGCGCUCCGUGACGGGAACCCAGGCUCCCACGCACGGGGAAUGCCUAGAACGGAGCUAGAAUGGAGGCCCCUUUGUGUGACUAAAUUUGGCAAGAAUAUGGAUCUGAGCCAGUCUUUCCACGUGUGCUCCCAGCUCCCAGCUGAGAAGGCCAAGGGUUCUCUUCCGGAUGCAGCCUUUUUGAAAUUUAUUCUUGGCCAAAAGAGGAAGAUAGUUCAAGGAUUCUAUCUUGCUUUUGGGGGGCAAUGGAGAAACCCUGAAAACACUUAAGGAAAACCUGAGGCCUUCUAUAAGAAAAUAAACUCCCUGAAAGGGGAGGCAGGGCCAAGGAAUUUACUUAUUUUUAUAAAUCUCUUUCCUGGGUGGAUAUGUGCUCCAGGAAAGUACCUGAUUGACAAGAUCUACAUCCAAUGCCCAGAAAACACAUCCUACACAGGCACAGUGAAGCGUGGAGUUGAAGAAUUUUCCAGAAAACCAGUUUGGCUAUUAAGGGAACCUGUCGACACAGAGCAGAGCAAGAUAAGGCCAGGUUUCAGAAAGAAUAGCUGUUUACCAUCAAAGCAACUGGGUUCCACACAGACAUGGUAUAUUAUACACAAAGACGAAGGAUAUGGGUCCACUCUCCGUCAAGGAAUGUUAUAAAUCCACGUGGUGUCCCUGGGUGUCAGGCUUGGCCAGAACAUCUGUGGCUGGAGAAGCCAAUGUGGCUCAGGAGCUCCCUGCUGGCUGCACAUCUGAACGGCUUCAGGAGUACAAGUUUCCCCAUCAAAGGUUUGGAAUAAAUUACACUAAAAAAUUG
rnacentral:lncRNA from 1 species